CCUACGGGAGGCAGCAGUAAGGAAUAUUGGUCAAUGGAGGCAACUCUGAACCAGCCAUGCCGCGUGCAGGAUGACGGCCCUAUGGGUUGUAAACUGCUUUUGUACCAGAGAAAACCUAUCUACGUGUAGAUAGCUGAUAGUAUGGUAAGAAUAAGCAUCGGCUAACUUCGUGCCAGCAGCCGCGGUAAGACGAAGGAUGCAAGCGUUAUCCGGAUUCAUUGGGUUUAAAGGGUGCGUAGGCGGACUUGUAAGUCAGUGGUGAAAUCUCUUUGCUUAACAAAGAAACUGCCAUUGAUACUGCAGGUCUAGAGUAUAGAUGACGUUGGCGGAAUAUGACAUGUAGUGGUGAAAUACUUAGAUAUGUCAUAGAACACCGAUUGCGAAGGCAGCUAACGAAACUAUAACUGACGCUGAGGCACGAAAGUGCGGGGAUCAAACAGGAUUAGAUACCCUGGUAGUCCGCACCGUAAACGAUGAUUACUCGUUGUUGGCGAUAUGACGAGUCGAGCGACCGAACGACGAAACGGAACGGAGUAAGUUAAAGUUACCGUACCGUUACGGGGUUAGGGUACGGCCGGGCCGGACCGGUACGGAACGUUACGAAACGGAAGUUAGGACGGACGUUGGAGGACGAGCCGACGGACGACGACGAGGGAGGUAGGAG
rnacentral:rRNA from 1 species